GAAAAAAAGAAAAGAGGUUCAUUCCUUCCCACUGCCGACAUGCAAAUCUUUGUGAUUUUAAAGUGCACCUUCUUAGAUCGUCGCAGUAGAUGAAAUGAAAAAUAAACGAUUGCAAACAGUACAACAUUAUUUUUUUAUUUAGGACAUUGCAUUGCGUUGUAUGUUUUGGAGGACAUUGCUAAUUUACAAGUCGGCUUCACCUAACUUCUACGUGCGUUGCGGGAAGUCAACGUUAGGAAAUGCUCAGUCUUGCUGGAUUGCUUGUUUCUUUGCAUUUCAAUUCAGCGGAACGAUGUUUUUUUUUAAUUGUUUGACUUUGGUUCUUCAUAAAACAUAUUUUCCAGUUCAUCGUCUUUGUUGUAACUACUCCGACGAGGUUGAAGGGCCAUCUCACAUUUUGGGCUUGUAAGAUCGACUUCUUCUAAGCAUUUUUUAGCUUCUCUCUUUCAUUUCAUGUUCGGGUAACAACAGAACACUUCACCUAAAUGUCAAUGGCAAACAGGUCAGAAAGAAAGGAAUGUGUCUACCUUCAUUUGUGAGAUGUAGCUAGUCUUCACCCAACUCCUACGUGCAUUGGGGGAAAGCCUACUUUAGGAAAUGUUCAGUCUUGCUACUGCAUGUUUCUUUGCAUUUAAACUUAGCGAAACGGUGUUUUUUUUUUAAUCGUUUGAUUUUGGUUUGACAUAAAACAUAUUUUCCAGUUCAUCUUCCUUCUUUUGCUGUAACUACUCCGAGGAGGUUGAAGGGAGGAGUUUGAGAUCUUCCUUGACAACAAGGCAAAAAUGUGUGCUAUACAAUGGAGAAGAGGUGGAAAACUUUUUUUUUCAAGUUAAUCCAGUCGGGAUUCCAGAUGAAGAUUUUUUUCUCCGUGAGAGUGUUUGACUGGAAAGACAGACUGUGGAGACGUGUUUGAGACAACACACAGGCUGCAUCCGAAAUUCGUGUGUGUAACCUCUUCUCCAUCUGCCACACACAUCUCUACCUAGCACAGGCUGCUCUUCAUCUGCGUCUGAUGAUGACGACCAUGCGCCAUCAAGCCGAGGAUCAACCUCAGGCCAUGUUGUGUCAUCGGCGGCUGACUUGUCUUGACUGGUCAUUACAAACCAAGUUCAUUCUAUACAGCAAGAGGAGAAAGCAAAUUGUCAUCAUAACAGCAAGUCUCCAUAACACAAGUAAGCUAUGUCAUCCGUCAUGGAAAAGUUGGAUAAACUGAAAAAAUGUGGUGACGGUGAAAUUCAGAAAAUGAGCAACAUACCCAAAAACGAAAAGUUCGAAGUGCUGGACAUUCAGAAAAUUGACACUAUGUAUGGCGAGGCAGUAUACGUGGAGCUCCGCAUAGAAAACGACAAGCCAGUGAAAGUGUAUCUACCUGGACGCUUCAAAAAAUUGUCGGAGGAAGAGCUAGAGGAAAUGCGACUGCUUCCAAAUCUCAAAAUGGAGAAGAAAGAACGGUUUACCAAAGAUGGUAAAAAAGUCAUUUCGCCAGAUAUUAUCAUCACCAAUUCGAAGAGAAAGUGAUGAGAUAUGGUGACGUGCCACUUAUGCUCCCAGCACGAACGGCAGUAUUAUGCAACAGCAUUAGGUCUUCAGAUUCACUUGGCAAAUGUUCACAAUCUUCAAGCCCCCUGCAUUCCUUUUUGUGAGACUUUGUGCACACUGCGAAACUAUACUAAUCGGUUCGAACUACAUUUACAUGACAGGGACUUUAGCGGACAUGAUGUUACAACCUUUUUUCACGAGUACAGACAGUACAUUGCUGAUGUCUUACGACACUUUGGUUUCCCACUGCGCUAUUUUGUAUUGCUUAAAGUGGAACUUGGUCGUCACACGCCAGACGAUGAGUUACAGCUCGAAAUUAGUUUCGUGCCUUCCAAAGUAGUGACAGUAUGGUCAGAGGCAGAUGUAGAACCUUCUAUCACUCAAGUGACUGCUGAAAUAGCACAAAAUUUGGAAAACCUCGAAGUAGAAGGUUCAGGUUUUUUUCUCUUUCGCAUUCAUGCCUGUAUCAUGAACAUUGGACGUUUGAUGCCUCAACUGAUUGGAUGUGCCCAGUUUGAGUUACCGCAAGAAUUGAAGCAUAAGUUUCGUUCUCUGUUGUGUGUAGACUUUGGUUUGCAUGAAGAUGAGCAGAACAUGUGUUUUGCCUUCUCUGUAAUAGCUGCACUGCAUCCUGCUACUGGUUAUCGCAGGCGUAGGGCAUCUUCAUACAGACCAUAUAUUUCUGAGUAUGUUUUUCCGAAAAUAUUCCCGGUAGCUUUCCCAAAAGAGGUUGAAGCAUUCGAAAAAAAUAAUGGUAUCAGUAUCAAUGUGUACGCCUACGAAAGGGAAGACAAAUCUCUGUACCCCAUCAAGGUUGUCGAUGACGAGCGUGAGAAACAUGUGGAUCUGUUGCUAAUCGACUCUCAUUUUCUGCUUAUCACAAAUUUUAAUGGAUUAUUUCAACCUAGCGGACGGUUUCAUUGCAAGAGGUGUAUGAUGGGCUUCUCAUCAGACAGAAUCCUCAGUGAUCAUUUAAAGAUGUGUUUGCAUCAGAAGGUUGCUAAGACAAUUUACCCUAAGAAGGGAGAGACGGUAGCAUUUGCCGGGGAACAUCUCAUGUCGGAAGUCCCUUUCUACUGUGUAUAUGAUUUUGAAAGUGUUUUGUCACCUUGUUUGGAGGAAACAAACGUGUAUGAAGAUCACUGUCCUUCCUCAUUUUGCCUUUUGGUUAUACGUGCAUCCGACUCACACGUGUUGCAAAAGCAUCUUUUCCGUGGUCCUAAUUGUGUCACAGUAUUUAUGGAGCUGCUGCGGAAAUUGCAUGACGAAAUUUUAGGAUGGAUACAUGCUUUUGCACCUCUAGAAAUGACCGAAGAGAAUGAGCGUCAACAUACAGCAGCCACUCAUUGUAAUAUGUGCAAAGAAUCCUUUGCUAAAAGACAAAAAGUUCGAGACCAUGACCAUGUAAGCGGAGAAUUUCGACAAACACUAUGUCAGACGUGUAACCUGAAACUGAGAGUGCCACCCAAGAUUCCAAUCAUUGCACAUAAUGCUAACUAUGACAUGAGUUUUCUCCUGUCUCAUUUACAUCUGCUUAAGAAGUCAGACAACAACGUGAUUGCCACCAGCUGUCAAAAAUUUAAAGCAAUUGACAUCGGCUCUUAUCGAUUCUUGGACAGUUUGAGUUUUCUGAACGCAAGCCUUGAAACACUGGUGAAAAAUCUAUGUGAUAAAGGUGAAUCCAACUUUCAAUGCCUUCGCCAGUUUUUUCCAAAUGAGGAACACUUUCAGCUGGUUGUUCGUAAGGGGGUCUUCUGUUAUAACUUUGUCACCAGUUUUGAAGCCUAUGAUGAGCCUUCGCUACCACCUCGAGAUAAGUUCUUUAACAUUUUGAAUGGAACCAAAGUAAGUGAACAAGACUACAAACACGCGCAGAAUGUGUAUGAAAAAUUUCGGCUCAAGAGUCUUGGAGAGUAUUCGGACUUAUACCUUCUGACAGACACACUGCUUUUAGCAGAUGUGUUUCAGAACUUUCGAAAGUGGACACUCGAUGUGCACAAGAUUGAACCGUUUCAUUUUGUAUCCCUUCCAGGAUUAAGCAUGUCUUGUGCACUAAAAAUGAGUCAGGUAGAACUAGAACUAAUUAACGACCCCAACGUGUACCUGCUCAUCGAGAAUGGCUUACGAGGAGGUGUCACACAGUGCCCCCUGAGAAAAGCAACUGCGAAUGUGCCAGGAACAGAACAGUUUGAUCCCGAAAAAAAAAAAAAAAAUUAACUACAUUGAUGUAAAUGGCCUGUAUGGAGCAGUCAUGAGAGAACCAUUGCCUUACGGAGGAUUUGAGUGGCUCACUGAGGAGGAAAUUGUUCACUUGGAUAUAGCUCAGAUGCGAGAUGAUACCCCUGUGGGUUACUUUCUUGAGGUAGACCUAGUGUAUGACCGAGCAACUCAUGAACGCCACAGAGAUCUUCCCGUUGCCCCUGAAAAAAUGUCCGUUCGUUAUGAGCUAUUGUCAGACUAUCAGAAGGCGCUCAUGAAGAAGUUCAAUCUUCCACAGAAAGCUACCGAAGCAAAACUGUUGCUAACAUUAUUUGAUAAAGAGAGGUACUUUCUCCACUAUCGCAAUUUGCAACUGUAUCUGCAAUUGGGGUUGCGUCUCACUAAAGUUCACAGUGUUCUCAAGUUCAAUCAAAAGCCCUUUCUGCGAUCCUAUGUCGACUUCAAUCACGAACUUCGGAAGCGAGCUACAAACGCAUUUGAGAAACAGCAAUCAAAGCUAAUGAUUAAUAGUGUAUAUGGCAGGACAUGUAUGCAAGUCAGGAAAUUCGUAAAUUGUCGCCUCACAGUAACAGAUGAGCAAGUGUUGAAGCUUCUACGUAAACCAAACUUGAAACAGUUCCGCCCUCUGAGCUCUCACGUCAUCUUGUUCCAAUUUAGUCAGUCUGUUCUUCGCAUGAAGCAACCGCUGUACCUGGGCUUCACAAUAUUGGAAUUGUCUAAGCUGAAGAUGUUUGAUUUUUAUCAUAACCAUCUUCUCCGUGUAGCCCCUGAUACACGAGUGCUAUACAUGGACACUGAUUCUUACAUUGUGAUGCUGAGUGACGAUAAAGUACUCCACGAACUAGCUGACGAGCAUCUAGACAACUCUGGAUAUGACCCUGAUCACCCACUCUAUUCGACAAAAAACGGGAUGGUACUAGGAAAGCUUAAAAAUGAGCUUCCUCGUGAUCACAUUCUUGGCUUCUGUUGUCUGAAGCGAAAGCUGUACGCCCUCGAUCUGUGCAGCAAAAAGGAGUACAAUCGCGCUAAGGGUGUUAAACAAUGUGAAGCACAAAAACUCCACUUCUCUAUGUACACGAAUGCUCUUGAGCAGGGCACAAUGCAUAAAGUUAAACAGAACCUCAUUGUGCACAAGGACAAUGUCAACAAAAGUGUGUCAGUGACAAAAAUAGCCCUCAAUCCACUGGAUACGAAACGCUUCAUUUGUGUUGAUGGAAUUGACACGCUACCUUUUGGCUAUGGUUGAAUUUUUUUAAUGUGUACGGAUUGGUCUCUCUAAUGAAGCGAUGGUGUUGGGGUGUGCACCGUCACGAGGUUUCAUUACAGAGUUGGCAUACGGGAGUAGGAGGGAACUCAUCUGUUAUCACCCCGCAACAGAUGUUGCCCUUCUAUUCCUGGUCCCACAGAAAAAAAUUGUAAUAAAGAUGUUACAUCCAUAUAGCUAUGGUUUGUCAUAUAUUAGAACAAUGUCAUGUUAGAACCAUGAACUAAAGCUAUUGCAUUAUUCCACAUCUAUGGUUGUCAGUGUGGGAUUACUUACAACUGUGAGUUAGGAGCUAGAGGAUAUUUGUUAGCCACGAGUGAUGACUAAGCUGAGACCUGGUCUGAUGAAUUUCAUGUCUUCCUGAAGUAAUGUGUAGCUCUUGAUGUGAGUGAAAGAGACAGUUUGCUUUCCCAUAUUGCUGCAUGCAUUUGCGAUAGAAAUAACAACUGACUUUGUCUGCAAGUCACUGUUUGUAAAUGGACCGUCUCAGACGAAUUUGAUUAUAUGUGCAUGAAAUAACCUGUUUUCUAAGAAUUUGAUUAUAAGAGUAUGUGAUAACCAGUUUCUAAUAGCAUGUAUGUAAUCUAUAACAAUGUCUUUGUUUGCAAGUCAGUGUUUGCAAAUAGCCUGUCUCAGAUGAGAGUCACUGUUUGUAAAUGAUCCGUGUCAGAAAAUUUUUGAUUAUACAGUCAAACUUCUUUACAACGAAACUCAGGGGACAGCAAAAAAAAUUCGCAGUAAAGGUAUUUUCGUUAAAAAGGAUGUCCAUUAUUGGACCUAUAGGGCUCCAGCAGGACCGCAAAAAAAUUUGCUGUAGUGGUAUUAUCGUUAAAAAGG